ACUCAAAGGAAUUGACGGGGACCCGCACAAGCAGCGGAGCAUGUGGUUUAAUUCGAAGCAACGCGAAGAACCUUACCAAGGCUUGACAUCCUGCUAAACUCAUGGAAACAUGAGGUGCCUUCGGGCGAGCAGAGACAGGUGGUGCAUGGUUGUCGUCAGCUCGUGUCGUGAGAUGUUGGGUUAAGUCCCGCAACGAGCGCAACCCUUAUUACCAGUUACCAGCGGGUGAAGCCGGGCACUCUGGUGAGACUGCCGAGGUCAACUCGGAGGAAGGUGGGGAUGACGUCAAAUCAUCAUGCCCCUUACGUCUUGGGCUACACACGUGCUACAAUGGCUGAAACAAAGGGCCGCAACACUGUAAAGUGAAGCAAAUCUCAUAAAAACAGUCCCAGUUCGGAUUGUGGGCUGCAACCCGCCCACAUGAAGUCGGAGUUGCUAGUAAUCGCGGAUCAGCAUGCCGCGGUGAAUACGUUCCCGGGUCUUGCACACACCGCCCGU
rnacentral:rRNA from 1 species